GAUGAACGCUGGCGGCGUGCCUAAUACAUGCAAGUCGAGCGAACAGACGAGGAGCUUGCUCCUCUGACGUUAGCGGCGGACGGGUGAGUAACACGUGGAUAACCUACCUAUAAGACUGGGAUAACUUCGGGAAACCGGAGCUAAUACCGGAUAAUAUAUUGAACCGCAUGGUUCAAUAGUGAAAGACGGUUUUGCUGUCACUUAUAGAUGGAUCCGCGCCGCAUUAGCUAGUUGGUAAGGUAACGGCUUACCAAGGCAACGAUGCGUAGCCGACCUGAGAGGGUGAACCGCCACACCGGAACCGGGAAACGGUCCAAGAUCCUAAGGGAGGCAAGAGUUGGGAAACUUUCCGCAUGGGCGGAAGCCUGACGGAGGAACGCCGGGGGAGGGAAUGAGGGUCUCGGGUCGGUAAACCCUUUUAUUAGGGAAGAACAAAUGUGUAAGUAACUAUGCACGUCUUGACGGUACCUAAUCAGAAAGCCACGGCUAACUACGUG
rnacentral:rRNA from 1 species